UACAGAGGGUGCGAGCGUUAAUCGGAAUUACUGGGCGUAAAGCGCGCGUAGGCGGCUUUGCAAGUCGGGUGUGAAAUCCCCAGGCUUAACCUGGGAACUGCAUUCGAGACUGCAUUGCUAGAGUAUGGGAGAGGGAAGUGGAAUUUCCGGUGUAGCGGUGAAAUGCGUAGAUAUCGGAAGGAACAUCAGUGGCGAAAGCGACUCUCUGGACGGCAACUGACGCUGAGGCACGAAAGCGUGGGGAGCAAACAGG
rnacentral:rRNA from 1 species